rnacentral:rRNA from 1 species
UACGAAGGGGGCGAGCGUUGUUCGGAAUUACUGGGCGUAAAGGGCGCGCAGGCGGCCGAUCAAGUCAGGCGUGAAAGCCCCGGGCUUAACCUGGGAAUUGCGCUUGGGACUGGUUGGCUUGAGUUCGGGAGAGGAGAGUGGAAUUCCCAGUGUAGAGGUGAAAUUCGUAGAUAUUGGGAAGAGCACCGGUGGCGAAGGCGGCUCUCUGGACCGAUACUGACGCUGAGGCGCGAAAGCGUGGGGAGCAAACAGG